rnacentral:rRNA from 1 species
UACGUAGGGGGCAAGCGUUGUCCGGAAUCAUUGGGCGUAAAGCGCGUGUAGGCGGCCCGGUAAGUCCGCUGUGAAAGUCGGGGGCUCAACCCUCGAAUGCCGGUGGAUACUGUUGGGCUAGAGUGCGGGAGAGGCGAGUGGAAUUCCUGGUGUAGCGGUGAAAUGCGCAGAUAUCAGGAGGAACACCGAUUGCGAAGGCAGCUCGCUGGAACGUAACUGACGCUGAGACGCGAAAGCGUGGGGAGCAAACAGG